CACUGCCUCACAGCAGCUCUUCUCUUGCGCGCGCAGCAGCAGAGAGCGUCCGUUAUUUUCUGAGGCUGAGAAAACGUAAAUGCCUGACGUUGCGAGCCGUUCGUUCCCGCUCCUGUUCCAUUCAAAUCUUGCGCGCGCUGACAGGGUCCGGUAUUUUCAUCAUAGAGACAUUUACACAUAGGAUUUACAUCACAAGAAGGUUACGUGAAGAGUGGGUCCAGAGGCUUCAAUUCCGGAACCAACACGUGAUCGAGACCAUGAGAGAGGAACAAAUAAGAAGAGCUCAGAGGAUUCAAGAGAUUUUAAGAUUUUAGACGUCAGCAUGAAAACUAAAAGCACUUCUCUAAAGCAUUUUACAUUCAUUAUACAAAAGCUGUCACUGGAACGGGACCCUUUAAAAAGGUUCUAAUAUUUACACUUUUGUUAUAUACUUUUGAUGUACUAAUAAUAUGCACUCUUUUGGUACAAAGAUAUACCUUUUGAAAGGGUACCACCCCAGUGACAGCUUUUACCUUUAAUCUGAGAUUUAUAUCUAUAAAAGUCAGUCUAUUUCUUUAACUUAACUAAAUAGUUUUCUGAUGUAGUGUUUGAGUCAGAAAGAUGCUGUUGCAGACAUGUAGGCUUAAAACUUGCGUGAAGUUGGCCCCCCACCCAACGCAAAAUGUCUGCAAAAUAGUCUCAAUCGUUUGUGCUGGUUUGUGCCGUAAAAAUUUUCGUUUCUGCUGCUUCAGUUUUUUAGGUAUUAAAAUAAUAUUUAUAGGUCAUUCUGAGGUCACCCAGCCCCCCACAUGUUCUAAAUUCACCGAAAAUAGUCUCAAAUGUUUGUGCUGGUUUGUGCCGGUAAAAGUUUCGUUUGUGCCGCUUUCGAUUUUAAAAUAUUAGACUUUGAAUUAUAGGCGAUGACGUCACUCAGCCCCCCCACAUGCUCCAAAUUCGCCCAAAAUAGUCUCGUUUGUUUGUGCUCCGUUUGUGCUGGUGAAAUUUCCGUUUGUGCUGCUUGUGCUGGUUUUUAAAAUAUGAAAAUAACUUUUAUAGGUCAUUCUGAGGUCACCCAGCCCCCCACAUGUUCCAAAUUCACCAAAAAUAGUCUCAAACGUUUGUUUCGUUUGUGCUGCUUUCGAUUUUAAAAUAUUAGACUUUGAAUUAUAGGCGAUGACGUCACUCAGCCCCCCACAUGCUCCAAAUUCACCCAAAAUAGUCUCGUUUGUUUGUGCUCCGUUUGUGCUGGUGAAAUUUCCAUUUGUGCUGCUUUGGUUUUUAAAAUAUUAAAAGAAUUGGGUAUUCAUUCUCAGGUCCCUCAGCCCCCCACAUGCUCCAAAUUUGCUCAAAAUAGUCUCAAACGUUUGUGCUUCAUUUGUGCUGGUAAAAGUUUCGUUUGUGCUGCUUCGUUUUUUUAGAUAUGUCUAUUAAAAUAAUAUUUAUAAAAUCUCAGGUCAAUCAGCCCCCCACAUGCUCCAAAUUCACCACAAACAGUCGCAAUCGUUUGUGCCGAUAAACGUUUCAUUUGUGCUGCCUCGCUUUAUAAAUAUUAGACAUUGAUUGCAUUGAAAUGAAUGACACUGAACGGCUGCAAAUGCAAAUCGCAUAAGAGCAUAUUAUAGUGACUAUUAGGCUAUAUACCAAAGCAUAGACAUUUAACAGAAAUAGUAGGAGCAAUGUGAUUUCAAAUUAAAAGUAAAAUAAAAUUAAACGAAUGCCUAUAUUUGUUUUUUCGAUUUGGUUUAGUUAGACAAUUAAAUAAGUCGUUUUUUCUUGACGUAGGCUAAUUAAAUGAAGGAAUUACACGGACCGAUGCAGCUUUUUUGAUGCAACAACUUUCCGUUUCUGACACGCGCUUGUCACUGAAAAGGAGGAAAGCAAACAGAGACUUAAUUUGAAAACUUUUAUCGGCACAAACGAUUGCGACCGUUUGUGGUGAAUUUGGAGCAUGUGAGGGGCUGAUUGACCUGAGAUUUUAUAAAUAUUCUUUUAAUAGAUAUAUCUAAAAAACAAAGCAGCACAAACGGAGCACAAACGAUUGAGACUAUUUUGCAGACGUUUUGCGUUGGGUGGGGGGCCAACUUCACGCAGGUACCAUACCACUAAAUGUGAUCUUUCCUUCCAGCAUCUGUCUUUCAUAUAAGGCUCAUAGGGUUAC